UGUUGAUUGCUCACAGGAGAGAGCAACGAAAAUGAUGAAGGUGUACUGCAAUAUAUCCAGCUACCCUAGAGAAGAAAUCCCAUGACUAGCGAGAGUGAUUUCUUAUUAGGAAUCGGCUCAUGCAAUUAUGGAAGCUGACAAGCCCUAAGAUCUGCAGGAAGAGUUGGUAAAUUUGGACACAGAAACACAUAGAGAAAGAUGGUGUGACUGCACUGGGG